rnacentral:snoRNA from 9 species
AAGACCUUACUUCAUAGGAUCAUUUCUAUAGUAAGCUCUUACCGAGAACUUCACACUACGUGAAUGAUCGACAACCACGAUGAUGAGGCGUGGCGCGGCAUCCUGAGCGUGAGGCAGGCAAUGGUUAGCUAACCAUUAGCCAUCAAUGAUCGUUCGCUUCCUUUCACAGGGAAGAGUGGGAUGUUGUCGCUAUCUGAGUGGU